UACGUAGGGCCCGAGCGUUAUCCGGAUUUAUUGGGCGUAAAGAGUAUGUAGGCUGAGAAAUAAGUCGAAUUUUAAAGCUCCAAGCUUAACUUGGAAUUUGGAUUCGAUACUAUUUUUCUUGAGGAUAGCAGGGGCAAGCGGAAUUCCCGGUGUAGCAGUGAAAUGCGUUGAUCUCGGGAAGAACACCAAUGGCGAAGGCAGCUUGCUAGGCUAUCUCUGACGCUGAGAUACGAAAGCGUGGGGAG
rnacentral:rRNA from 1 species